CCCCGGGUGGCGCAGUGGCUAGCGCGUUUCACACGUUCAAGUCGACAAAGCACCUAUCGAAAUGAGCAAGGUGAAAGGGUCCCAAGUUCGAACCUUGGCCCGGGGG